CUCCCUUUAAAGGCAAGCAUUCAAUGUGCCUUCUGCUCAUGACCCAUUGAGCCAUCAAGAAGGGACAGAGUAAAAACACCACUUUUGGGUGAAAUGGCAGCAUAUGCUAUUUACUUCAAUCAGUGGUGUGACAAGG
ensembl:snoRNA